rnacentral:rRNA from 1 species
UACGUAGGGACCAAGCGUUGUUCGGAUUUACUGGGCGUAAAGGGCGCGUAGGCGGCAUGACAAGUUACUUGUGAAAUCUCCGGGCUUAACUCGGAACGGCCAAGUGAAACUGUCAAGCUAGAGUGCAGAAGGGGCAAUCGGAAUUCUUGGUGUAGCGGUGAAAUGCGUAGAUAUCAAGAGGAACACCUGAGGUGAAGACGGGUUGCUGGGCUGACACUGACGCUGAGGCGCGAAAGCCAGGGGAGCAAACGGG